rnacentral:rRNA from 1 species
UGAGUUUGAUCCUGGCUCAGGAUGAACGCUGGCGGUAUGCUUAACACAUGCAAGUCGAACGAUUUUCACCGCUUCGGUGGUGAGAUUAGUGGCGUACGGGUGAGUAAUGCACAGGAAUUUGCCCUUUGGUGGGGGAUAGCUUGGGGAAACCCGAAUUAAUCCCGCAUGAUGCCGUGAGGUAAAAGCCGUAAGGCGCCAAAGGAUAAGCCUGUGUCCGAUUAGCUUGUUGGUGGGGUAAAGGCCCACCAAGGCGACGAUCGGUAGCUGGUUUGAGAGGAUGAUCAGCCACAGUGGAACUGAGACACGGUCCACACUCCUACGGGAGGCAGCAGUGGGGAAUAUUCCGCAAUGGACGAAAGUCUGACGGAGCAAUACCGCGUGUAGGACGAAGGCCUUAGGGUUGUAAACUACUGUCGUCGAGGAAGAUUAUGACGGUACUCGAAAAGGAAGCACCGGCUAACUCUGUGCCAGCAGC